UGUUAGACACAAGAUGAAUUGAAAGGAAUACAAUCCAGCCUUGGCGAAUGGAUUGCUGACUGUGGUGUUCCUGGAAUAUACAGUGCAAAACCUAAAGAUAUGAGACGGAUAUAUGGGCAGGUGAUAAAACACUACAUGUACCUCAGAACAGCAGACAUGAUUAAUCAGUUUAAGGAUGGCAUGAACUCUUGUGGCAACUUAUGGAAAGUUGUUGAAAGAAACUGGAAGGCUUUCCUUCCAGUGUUUACCAAUCAGCAGAAGCCACUCUCCAGAGAGGAUUUCAGAGCUCUCUUUACAAUAUCCUGGAGUGAGGAGGGAAGCAACCUUAAAGAUAAAGAGGAAGAUACAAUCUUCUGCUGGGAGCUAUUACUGAAUAAAAUUCAGG